rnacentral:rRNA from 2 species
AACGACUCUCGGCAACGGAUAUCUCGGCUCUCGCAUCGAUGAAGAACGUAGCGAAAUACGAUACUUGGUGUGAAUUGCAGAAUCCCGUGAACCAUCGAGUUUUUGAACGCAAGUUGCGCCCAAAGCCAUUAGGCUAAGGGUACGUCUGCCUGGGCGUCACGC